CCUACGGGAGGCAGCAGUGGGGAAUAUUGCACAAUGGGGGAAACCCUGAUGCAGCGACGCCGCGUGAGUGAAGAAGUAUCUCGGUACGUAAAGCUCUAUCAGCAGGGAAGAAAAUGACGGUACCUGACUAAGAAGCCCCGGCUAACUACGUGCCAGCAGCCGCGGUAAUACGUAGGGGGCAAGCGUUAUCCGGCUUUACUGGGUGGAAAGGGAGCGGAGACGGCAGCAGAAGUCCGGAGUGAAAACCCCGGGCUUAACCCCGGAACUGCUUUGGAAACUGGGUGGGUGGAGUGCAGGAGGGGUAAGCGGAAUUCCGAGUGUAGCGGUGAAAUGCGUAGAUAUUAGGAGGAACACCAGUGGCGAAGGCGGAUUACUGGACUGUAACUGACGCUGAGGCGCGAAAGCGUGGGGAGCAAACAGGAUUAGAUACCCCGGUAGUC
rnacentral:rRNA from 1 species